rnacentral:rRNA from 1 species
GACGAACGCUGGCGGCGUGCUUAACACAUGCAAGUCGAGCGGUAAGGCCCUUUCGGGGGUACGACGAGCGGCGAACGGGUGAGUAACACGUGGGUGACCUGCCCUCAGCUCUGGGAUAAGCCUGGGAAACCGGGUCUAAUACCGGAUAUGACUCCAUGACGCAUGUUGUGGGGUGGAAAGCCUUGUGCGGCUGAGGAUGGGCCCGCGGCCUAUCAGCUUGUUGGUGGGGUGAUGGCCUACCAAGGCGACGACGGGUAGCCGGCCUGAGAGGGCGACCGGCCACACUGGGACUGAGACACGGCCCAGACUCCUACGGGAGGCAGCAGUGGGGAAUCUUGCGCAAUGGACGAAAGCCUGACGCAGCGACGCCGCGUGAGGGAUGACGGCCUGUGUAAC